rnacentral:rRNA from 1 species
UACGUAAGGUGCAAGCGUUAAUCGGAAUUACUGGGCGUAAAGCGUGCGCAGGCGGCUUUGCAAGACAGAUGUGAAAUCCCCGGGCUUAACCUGGGAACUGCAUUUGUGACUGCAUGGCUGGAGUGCGGCAGAGGGGGAUGGAAUUCCGCGUGUAGCAGUGAAAUGCGUAGAUAUGCGGAGGAACACCGAUGGCGAAGGCAAUCCCCUGGGCCUGCACUGACGCUCAUGCACGAAAGCGUGGGGAGCAAACAGG